UGUGUGUGUUAGUGGAAGCGUCUGGAAAGGCGUGCGAUACAGGGUGACAGCCCCGUACACAAAAAUGCACAUGCUGUGAGCUCGAUGAGUAGGGCGGGACACGUGGUAUCCUGUCUGAAUAUGGGGGGACCAUCCUCCAAGGCUAAAUACUCCUGACUGACCGAUAGUGAACCAGUACCGUGAGGGAAAGGCGAAAAGAACCCCGGCGAGGGGAGUGAAAAAGAACCUGAAACCGUGUACGUACAAGCAGUGGGAGCACAGAGCAAUCUGUGUGACUGCGUACCUUUUGUAUAAUGGGUCAGCGACUUAUAUUCUGUAGCAAGGUUAACCGAAUAGGGGAGCCGAAGGGAAACCGAGUCUUAACUGGGCGUUAAGUUGCAGGGUAUAGACCCGAAACCCGGUGAUCUAGCCAUGGGCAGGUUGAAGGUUGGGUAACACUAACUGGAGGACCGAACCGACUAAUGUUGAAAAAUUAGCGGAUGACUUGUGGCUGGGGGUGAAAGGCCAAUCAAACCGGGAGAUAGCUGGUUCUCCCCGAAAGCUAUUUAGGUAGCGCCUCGUGAAUUCAUCUCCGGGGGUAGAGCACUGUUUCGGCAAGGGGGUCAUCCCGACUUACCAACCCGAUGCAAACUGCGAAUACCGGAGAAUGUUAUCACGGGAGACACACGGCGGGUGCUAACGUCCGUCGUGAAGAGGGAAACAACCCAGACCGCCAGCUAAGGUCCCAAAGUCAUGGUUAAGUGGGAAACGAUGUGGGAAGGCCCAGACAGCCAGGAUGUUGGCUUAGAAGCAGCCAUCAUUUAAAGAAAGCGUAAUAGCUCACUGGUCGAGUCGGCCUGCGCGGAAGAUGUAACGGGGCUAAACCAUGCAC
rnacentral:rRNA from 1 species